ACAUGCAAGUCGAACGAACCUUCGGGUUAGUGGCGGACGGGUGAGUAACGCGUGGGAAUCUGCCCUCAGGAGGGGGAUAACGGUUGGAAACGACCGCUAAUACCCCAUAUGCCGAGAGGUGAAAUGAAUUUCGCCUGAGGAUGAGCCCGCGUCUGAUUAGCUUGUUGGUGAGGUAAUGGCUCACCAAGGCAUCGAUCAGUAGCUGGUCUGAGAGGAUGAUCAGCCACACUGGGACUGAGACACGGCCCAGACUCCUACGGGAGGCAGCAGUGGGGAAUUUUCCGCAAUGGGCGAAAGCCUGACGGAGCAACGCCGCGUGAGGGACGAAGGCCUCUGGGCUGUAAACCUCUUUUCUCAAGGAAGAAGAUAUGACGGUACUUGAGGAAUAAGCCACGGCUAAUUCCGUGCCAGCAGCCGCGGUAAUACGGGAGUGGCAAGCGUUAUCCGGAAUUAUUGGGCGUAAAGCGUCCGCAGGCGGCCUUUCAAGUCUGCUGUUAAAACGUGGAGCUUAACUCCAUCAUGGCAGUGGAAACUGAUUGGCUUGAGUAUGGUAGGGGCAGAGGGAAUUCCCGGUGUAGCGGUGAAAUGCGUAGAUAUCGGGAAGAACACCAGUGGCGAAGGCGCUCUGCUGGGCCAUUACUGACGCUCAUGGACGAAAGCCAGGGGAGCGAAAGGGAUUAGAUACCCCUGUAGUCCUGGCCGUAAACGAUGAACACUAGGUGUCGGGGGAAUCGACCCCUUCGGUGUCGUAGCUAACGCGUUAAGUGUUCCGCCUGGGGAGUAC
rnacentral:rRNA from 1 species